rnacentral:rRNA from 1 species
GUAGUCCUGGCUGUAAACGAUGUCGACUUGGAGGUUGUGCCCUUGAGGCGUGGCUUCCGGAGCUAACGCGUUAAGUCGACCGCCUGGGGAGUACGGCCGCAAGGUUAAAACUCAAAUGAAUUGACGGGGGCCCGCACAAGCGGUGGAGCAUGUGGUUUAAUUCGAUGCAACGCGAAGAACCUUACCUGGUCUUGACAUCCACGGAAGUUUUCAGAGAUGAGAAUGUGCCUUCGGGAACCGUGAGACAGGUGCUGCAUGGCUGUCGUCAGCUCGUGUUGUGAAAUGUUGGGUUAAGUCCCGCAACGAGCGCAACCCUUAUCCUUCGUUGCCAGCGGUCCGGCCGGGAACUCAAAGGAGACUGCCAGUGAUAAACUGGAGGAAGGUGGGGAUGACGUCAAGUCAUCAUGGCCCUUACGACCAGGGCUACACACGUGCUACAAUGGCGCAUACAAAGAGAAGCGACCUCGCGAGAGCAAGCGGACCUCAUAAAGUGCGUCGUAGUCCGGAUUGGAGUCUGCAACUCGACUCCAUGAAGUCGGAAUCGCUAGUAAUCGUGGAUCAGAAUGCCACGGUGAAUACGUUCCCGGGCCUUGUACACACCGCCCGUCACACCAUGGGAGUGGGUUGUAAAAGAAGUAGGUAGCUUAACCUUCGGGAGGGCGCUUACCACUUUGUGAUUCAUGACUGGGGUGAAGUCGUAACAAGGUAACCGUAGGGGAACCUGCGGCUGGAUCACCUCC